rnacentral:rRNA from 1 species
GGUGCCUUANCAUGCAAGUCGAACGGCAGCACGGGGGCAACCCUGGUGGCGAGUGGCGAACGGGUGAGUAAUACAUCGGAACGUGUCCUGUAGUGGGGGAUAGCCCGGCGAAAGCCGGAUUAAUACCGCAUACGAUCUACGGAAGAAAGCGGGGGAUCCUUCGGGACCUCGCGCUAUAGGGGCGGCCGAUGGCAGAUUAGCUAGUUGGUGGGGUAAAGGCCUACCAAGGCGACGAUCUGUAGCUGGUCUGAGAGGACGACCAGCCACACUGGGACUGAGACACGGCCCAGACUCCUACGGGAGGCAGCAGUGGGGAAUUUUGGACAAUGGGGGAAACCCUGAUCCAGCAAUGCCGCGUGUGUGAAGAAGGCCUUCGGGUUGUAAAGCACUUUUGUCCGGAAAGAAAACUUCUGCCCUAAUACGGCGGGAGGAUGACGGUACCGGAAGAAUAAGCACCGGCUAACUACGUGCCAGCAGCCGCGGUAAUACGUAGGGUGCGAGCGUUAAUCGGAAUUACUGGGCGUAAAGCGUGCGCAGGCGGUUCGUUAAGACAGAUGUGAAAUCCCCGGGCUUAACCUGGGAACUGCAUUUGUGACUGGCGAGCUAGAGUAUGGCAGAGGGGGGUAGAAUUCCACGUGUAGCAGUGAAAUGCGUAGAGAUGUGGAGGAAUACCGAUGGCGAAGGCAGCCCCGUGGGCCAA